rnacentral:rRNA from 1 species
CGCAAUGGGCGAAACCCUGACGGAGCAACCCCGCGUGAGGGAGGAAGGUCUUUGGAUUGUAAACCUCUUUUCUCAAGGAAGAAGUUCUGACGGUACUUGAGGAAUCAGCCUCGGCUAACUCCGUGCCAGCAGCCGCGGUAAUACGGGGGAGGCAAGCGUUAUCCGGAAUUAUUGGGCGUAAAGCGUCCGCAGGUGGUCAGCCACCCCCCCCGCCAAAUCAGGUUGCUUAACGACCUAAAGGCGGUGGAAAUUGGCAGACUAGAGACCAGUAGGGGUAGCAGGAAUUCCCAGUGUAGCGGUGAAAUGCGUAGAGAUUGGGAAAAACAUCGGUGCCGAAAGCCGCUACUGGGCCGUCCCCCUCUCUCAGGGCGAAAGCUA